GGCGUUGCAUGGCUGUCGUCAGCUCGUGUCGUGAGAUGUUGGGUUAAGUCCCGCAACGAGCGCAACCCUCAUCCUUAGUUACCAUCAGGUAAUGCUGGGGACUUUAAGGAAACUGCCAGUGAUAAACUGGAGGAAGGUGGGGAUGAUGUCAAGUCAUCAUGGCCCUUAUGGAGUGGGCUACACACGUGCUACAAUGGUGGCUACAAUGGGCUGCAAAGUCGCGAGGCUAAGCUAAUCCCUUAAAAGCCAUCUCAGUUCGGAUUGUACUCUGCAACUCGAGUGCAUGAAGUUGGAAUCGCUAGUAAUCGUGGAUCAGCACGCCACGGUGAAUACGUUCCCGGGUCUUGUACACAC
rnacentral:rRNA from 1 species